AGUUAUAUGCUUGUCUCAAAGAUUAAGCCAUGCAGGUCUAAGUACAGGCCCUAUACGGCGAAACUGCGAAUGGCUCAUUAAAUCAGUUAUGGUUCCUUAGACAGACAGUUGCACUUGGACAACUGUGGAAAAUCUAGAGCUAAUACAUGCGACCAAGCUCCGACCGUCUCGGCGGGAAGAGCGCAUUUGUUAGUACAAAACCAGCCCGGGUUUCGGCCCGGCCGUCUUGGUGACUCUGAACAACCUCGAGCCGAUCGCACGGCCUUGUGCCGGCGACGCAUCUUUCAAAUGUCUGCCCUAUCAACUGUCGAUGGUACGUGCUAUGCGUACCAUGGUUCUCACGGGUAACGGGGAAUCAGGGUUCGAUUCCGGAGAGGGAGCCUGAGAAACGGCUACCACAUCCAAGGAAGGCAGCAGGCACGCAAAUUACCCAAUGCCGACACGGCGAGGUAGUGACGAAAAAUAACAAUACGGGUCUCUUUCGAGGCCCCGUAAUUGGAAUGAGUACACUCUAAAUCCUUUAACGAGGAUCUAUUGGAGGGCAAGUCUGGUGCCAGCAGCCGCGGUAAUUCCAGCUCCAAUAGCGUAUAUUAAAGUUGCUGCGUUUAAAAAGCUCGUAGUUGGAUCUCGGUUCCAGGCCUGCGGUCCGCCUCGAGGCGGAUACUGCUCGUCCUGUGUUCGACAUCGUGGUGGUCCCUUGGUGCUCUUGACUGAGUGUCUCGGGCGGUCCCGAAGGUUUACUUUGAAAAAAUUAGAGUGCUCAAAGCAGGCGUUUCGCCUGAAUAAUUCCGCAUGGAAUAAUGGAAUAGGACCUCGGUUCUAGUUUCGUUGGUUUGCGAAUCGAUGAGGUAAUGAUUGAUAGGGACGGCCGGGGGCA
rnacentral:rRNA from 1 species